rnacentral:misc_RNA from 1 species
GACGAACCGUGCGAACGUUGUCCGGAAUCAUUGGGUGUAAAGGGCGCGUAGGCGGGUCUUCAAGUCGGGGGUGAAAUCGCCCGGCCCAACCGGACAAGUGCCUCCGAUACUGGAGACCUCGAGGGAGGUAGGGGUCGAGGGAACUGGUGGUGGAGCGGUGAAAUGCGUAGAUAUCACUAGGAACGCCGGUGGCGAAAGCGCUCGACUGGACCUCUUCUGACGCUGAGGCGCGAAAGCCAGGGGAGCAAACGGG